rnacentral:lncRNA from 1 species
UCUUUGAAAAGUAACUUCUUAUAAGUGCUUACUUGUCUCACUCAUGCCCUCUCUGAAUAUGUAGUUUCCGGGAAGUACCACACAGUCUUCAGCUAUCAUCGGGAGCUUUGCGAGGGCCGUGGAUGGAAGUUAAUCAUUCAUUAAACUACAAUAUGGCUUGCAAGGCUUGGGAAUGAGAUGUACUGCACAGCUGCAUAUAUUCCUCAUCUGCAGGUAGAAAUCCCCCUAAAGAAGCCUUUUUGGAAGGUUUUGAAUCCUGUCCUGCCUAAAAUCACCGAAAACCUAUUAAGAUAAUUUUCUUGUUGAACACUAUGUGAAGAAAUUUACAUGUUGGGGAGGAUCUUAAGUUUCCUGAAGAAAUUUCACGGGCUAUAGACUUUUGAUAUUAUGUUAUUUCAGAUUUUUUUUAGAG